rnacentral:lncRNA from 1 species
GUGCAGUGUGGUUUCCUAUGCACAAUCUGGAAUAGUCCAUUGCUUCAUGCCUACCCUGGACAUGAAGGGCCGUGCCACAGCGGAAGUCUCUAUGCACCCACCCCCGUCUAUACCUGAGCAACUCAUUCCUCUUUGCUGCUCUCUUACAGGCUACAGAGUGCGGUGGCGCCAGCACAGAACUCUGCUCAGUGUCCCUCUGUGCUUUCACGAUGCUGAUGGAUUAUGAAGGACCUGAAAGGGUUUUGUCUAUCAGCUGC